rnacentral:tRNA from 1 species
UGCCUCGUAGCUCAGCUGAUAGAGCGCUUGCCGCGUAGAGGCAUGGUGUUUCUGUCGCUGGUUCGAAUCCAGCCGAAGCCC